AGCUCAGACACACAACUCAGAUACUGUUGUAACUCCCAACAACUAGUUGGGAAUUGUCGAAUAAUGUAUGGAGAGCACCAGGAAACCUGAUCCAAGUUAACUACAUAGAAAACCAGGACUACAAUCCUGAGCAUGUUUUACUUGAGUUUAACCCAUAGAGUUCAUUGGGACUGGUUUCAGAAAAGAUGAAAAGGAGUAUGCAUUGAAGCAGAUUGAAGGUACAGGGAUAUCCAUGUCGGCAUGUAGAGAAAUAGCACUUUUGCGAGAACUGAAGCACCCUAAUGUGAUUGCAUUACAGAAAGUUUUCCUUUCCCAUAGUGACAGAAAAGUGUGGCUGCUAUUUGAUUAUGCCGAACAUGAUUUGUGGGUAAGUUCAGAAUUUAUU